AUGAAAGAAAAAGGGUGAGCCUUGGUACAAAAUCUGGGCCAACAAAAGAAUAGAUAACAACUUGAAGCAAUUAGAACUUAUGGUGUUGUGUGCAUCCUGUUUGUCUGAGUCGAAGAGGGAGGGCACGGGCUGGGGUAGGCGGUGGCUCCGCGCCACUGUUGCCGCCGGCCGGAGUGUGCAGAGGAGAGAGAGGGCAGCGAGGCAGAGGGAGGCUGCGGCACGGCGGCUCCGCCCGCUGCUGCCGGGCCAAGGACGGAGAGAGAGAGAGAGCCACGAGACAGAGGGAGGCAGGGGCUAGGGCGCGGCGGUGUCCGCUUCUAGGACGUGGGUUCUGUUUGAGGAAAAGAUAGUGAGGGCGAAGAGGGAGGGGAGCCGACGCCGUCUGGUUUCGCCGGAGCUUCAGAGGCGGCGGCGGGGUUGUGAGGGAGCCGGCGAAGGGGGCGGCGGCGUUUUCCGUUUGUGUGAAUGUGUGCUGUCGUUAGAGAGAGAGAGAGAGGGGAGAGGCUCAGGUGCGAGCGGGCGGCGACGGACACGCGGCGGUGCGUGUGCGUGUGCGUGUGCGUGUGCGUGCGCGCGCGCCCUUGUGUUUGGGUGUCUUGAACUUUGAAGAAAACAGGGUGUUAAAUGGGCUAGGUUUGGGGCCAAUGAUGAGCUAUAAGCAUUAUAAAAGAAAAUGAGC
rnacentral:lncRNA from 1 species